UACGUAGGGAGCAAGCGUUGUCCGGAAUCAUUGGGCGUAAAGCGCGCGUAGGUGGCCUCAUAAGUCGGCUGUGAAAGCCCGGGGCUCAACCCCGGAGGGUCAGCCGAUACUGGCAGGCUAGAGUACGGAAGAGGUAGCUGGAAUUCCCGGUGUAGCGGUGAAAUGCGCAGAUAUCAGGAAGAACACCAAUGGCGAAGGCAGCUCUCUGGGACGGUACUGACGCUGAGACGCGAAAGCGUGGGGAGCGAACAGG
rnacentral:rRNA from 1 species